CUAAAGGAAAGUUCUGGAAUUUUAGCAUCUCCAAUCACUCAAAUUCUACAAGGUUUUGCUCUUCUGAUACGGUUCGGAUAGUGAAUUAGCCUUCCUUUUCUGAAGCAACAGAACAAUCAGUAGCAUCAUUGCUACGGGUUGGGCAUCCUAAAAUUUGGGAAUAAGAAAACAUCACAUUGUGCAUUAUAAAAGAUAUAUUUGAUCAGAUGUUAUAUAUAAAUAACAUAUUUAUCCCCUACUUAGUUAUUGCUGGAAUUCAGGCUCGAACGGGCAUGAUAUAUUAACCUUUAGCAUUAUGAGAGUGCAAAUACCUGGAAUUAGAUAUUUCUUUCAUGUGCCAUGCGUGUAAAUGAACACUACAUGCUCCAGGUCAGUCAAAAUCGGAGAAUGUGACUGCCUUGUUGCAUAAUCUGUUGGUAUCAGUGUAAAUUUAG
rnacentral:lncRNA from 1 species